CAGACCGACGCCGAUGAGCUGCAGGCGCCGCUGCUGGAGGAGCUCGUCCUUAUCAAAGCCAACGGGGGCGAUAAGCUGAUUGCUGCUGACGACGAGGCACUGCAGCAACUCAUGGUCACCAUGCAGGCACUCAACGUCAAGCUGCACGAAUACUACUCACGCAGCCCUCAGACUAUCGGCAUGACAAAGUACACUAGAAAGUAUCACGAGUACAUGGCAAGCACUCUUCAGCUACUCGCCGCCAGCCCCAAACACAACUAGCGCUCCACUACAAGCGCCGUGUCGUCACUGCUCACGGGCUCCACAUUUCCUGUGUUUCACUUAUUGGCUCGUCGCUUUAAUUUCGAAGUACCACUAACCUUCUGAAUGCCGUUAUAAGGUUUUCGGGUUGUUUAUUUUGUUUAUAAAGUUUUCAAGUUUAUUUAGUUUAUCUUCUACACGUUCUAUCCGUAUGUUUUUUUGUUAUAAAGCCAAAUAAUGGAAGUAAAUUUGCAGAUGAAGUACUCCACGAGAGAUAGGAGCAGAUUUAAUCUCGACGCAUUUCUGAGCUUAUUAAUGUAAAUUCUCCGAUUAAAGGAAUAUUUUCGUAAGUAAAAAUAUCGUAGCUUAAUAAAGUAUGAAGUUUAA